rnacentral:rRNA from 1 species
UACGAAGGGGGGCUAGCGUUACUCGGAUUGACUGGGCGUAAAGGGCGCGUAGGCGGUUUGUACAGUCAGACGUGAAAUUCCUGGGCUCAACCUGGGGGCUGCGUUUGAUACGUGCGGACUUGAGUUCGGAAGAGGGUCGUGGAAUUCCCAGUGUAGAGGUGAAAUUCGUAGAUAUUCGCAAGAACACCAGUGGCGAAGGCGGCUCACUGGCCCGAUACUGACGCUGAGGCACGAAAGCGUGGGGAGCAAACAGG